rnacentral:snoRNA from 1 species
UGCAUUGCAAGUGAUGACAAAAUCAAGGCUUGUUUCUCGACAUUCGCAGUUGCCGCCUAAGAGCUUUCGCCCUGCCAGGCUUGAGAGGUAGUGCUGCCAAAUCCUUCCUUGGAUGUCUGACGCAAUGCA